GAUGAACGCUGACAGAAUGCUUAACACAUGCAAGUCUACUUGAUCCUUCGGGUGAUGGUGGCGGACGGGUGAGUAACGCGUAAAGAACUUGCCCUGCAGUCUGGGACAACAUUUGGAAACGAAUGCUAAUACCGGAUAUUAUGUGAGUUUCGCAUGAAAUUCAUAUGAAAGCUAUAUGCGCUGCAGGAGAGCUUUGCGUCCUAUUAGCUAGUUGGUGAGGUAACGGCUCACCAAGGCGAUGAUAGGUAGCCGGCCUGAGAGGGUGAACGGCCACAAGGGGACUGAGACACGGCCCUUACUCCUACGGGAGGCAGCAGUGGGGAAUAUUGGACAAUGGACCAAAAGUCUGAUCCAGCAAUUCUGUGUGCACGAUGAAGUUUUUCGGAAUGUAAAGUGCUUUCAGUUGGGAAGAAGAAAGUGACGGUACCAACAGAAGAAGCGACGGCUAAAUACGUGCCAGCAGCCGCGGUAAUACGUAUGUCGCAAGCGUUAUCCGGAUUUAUUGGGCGUAAAGCGCGUCUAGGCGGUUUGGUAAGUCUGAUGUGAAAAUGCGGGGCUCAACUCCGUAUUGCGUUGGAAACUGCCAAACUAGAGUACUGGAGAGGUGGGCGGAACUACAAGUGUAGAGGUGAAAUUCGUAGAUAUUUGUAGGAAUGCCGAUGGGGAAGCCAGCCCACUGGACAGAUACUGACGCUAAAGCGCGAAAGCGUGGGUAGCANACAGG
rnacentral:rRNA from 1 species